UUUAAAAUGGCAGAUUAGUGCAAUAAAUUUAAACUUUAUAUAUGUAUAAUAAUAUACUUUUAAAA
rnacentral:tRNA from 1 species